rnacentral:rRNA from 1 species
GAUGAACGCUGGCGGCGUGCCUAAUACAUGCAAGUCGAGCGAACAGACGAGGAGCUUGCUCCUCUGACGUUAGCGGCGGACGGGUGAGUAACACGUGGAUAACCUACCUAUAAGACUGGGAUAACUUCGGGAAACCGGAGCUAAUACCGGAUAAUAUAUUGAACCGCAUGGUUCAAUAGUGAAAGACGGUUUUGCUGUCACUUAUAGAUGGAUCCGCGCCGCAUUAGCUAGUUGGUAAGGUAACGGCUUACCAAGGCAACGAUGCGUAGCCGACCUGAGGGGGUGAUCGGCCACACUGGAACUGAGACACGGUCCAGACUCCUACGGGAGGCAGCAGUAGGGAAUCGUCCGCAAUGGGCGAAAGUAUUACGGAGCAACGCCGCGCGAGUUAUGAAGGUGUCCGGAUCGUAAAACCCUGUUAUUAGGGAAGAACAACUGUGUAAGUAACUAUGCACGUCUUGACGGUACCUAAUCAGAAAGCCACGGCUAACUACGUG